rnacentral:rRNA from 1 species
AUUAAACGCUGGCGGCAUGCCUUACACAUGCAAGUCGAACGGCAGCACGGGGGCGACCUUGGUGGCGAGUGGCGAACGGGUGAGUAAAGCAUCGGAACGUGCCCUGGAGAGGGGGAUAACGUAGCGAAAGUUACGCUAAUACCGCAUAUUCUGUGAGCAGGAAAGCAGGGGAUCGCAAGACCUUGCGCUCUGGGAGCGGCCGAUGUCGGAUUAGCUAGUUGGUGGGGUAAAGGCCUACCAAGGCGACGAUCCGUAGCGGGUCUGAGAGGAUGAUCCGCCACACUGGGACUGAGACACGGCCCAGACUCCUACGGGAGGCAGCAGUGGGGAAUUUUGGACAAUGGGCGCAAGCCUGAUCCAGCCAUGCCGCGUGAGUGAAGAAGGCCUUCGGGUUGUAAAGCUCUUUCGGUGGGGAAGAAAUGGCACGGGGGAAUAUCCCGUGU